rnacentral:rRNA from 1 species
GAUGAACGCUGGCGGCGUGCCUAAUACAUGCAAGUCGAACGAAACUUCUUUAUCACCGAGUGCUUGCGCUCACCGAUAAAGAGUUGAGUGGCGAACGGGUGAGUAACACGUGGGCAACCUGCCCAAAAGAGGGGGAUAACACUUGGAAACAGGUGCUAAUACCGCAUAACCAUAGUUACCGCAUGGUAACUAUGUAAAAGGUGGCUAUACUACCGCUUUUGGAUGGGCCCGCGGCGCAUUAGCUAGUUGGUAGGGUAAAGGCUUACCAAGGCAAUGAUGCGUAGCCGAAUUGAGAGGUUGAUCGGCCACAUUGGGACUGAGACACGGCCCAAACUCCUACGGGAGGCAGCAGUAGGGAAUCUUCCACAAUGGGCGGAAGCCUGAUGGAGCAACGCCGCGUGGGUGAAGAAGGUCUUCGGAUCGUAAAACCCUGUUGUUAGAGAAGAAAGUGCGUGAGAGUAACUGUUCACGUUUCGACGGUAUCUAACCAGAAAGCCACGGCUAACUACGUG